UGGUGUAUCAUGCAAGAAACUCGUAUAUAUUCGGAAAUAUGGUCCGAAGGUUUCUACCUGCUACCGUUAAUUAGCAGACUACGAGGUAUUGAUUUUAGUUU
rnacentral:ncRNA from 2 species